GGAGGGGAGAGCGACGGUGGGACGGACAACGCGGCGGGCGGGAAACGGAGCAAGCUGUUGCA
rnacentral:SRP_RNA from 12 species